UCGUAACAAGGUUACCUUCUGGCACUCAAGCUACGGAGACCUUGCACCCUCGGGGGGGAGCGCGACAGUAAAUAAGCUCCCGUUGCAAGUUGGCCCUAGGCCAGCAACACAAUCGAAAUGCGGGGACCUCCUAAAGCCUGUAGCACCUCCCGCUGGAGAAAUUCAGCGGCACGGUAAGAGUCUACAGGAUGCUACAAUGAAGUAUCCGCAGCGGAGACCCUAAAGCCUAGGCCACGGGUAACGUUCACAGACUAAGUGAUUGUGGGUGGGUUUCCCAUCUAAGAUAUAGUCGGCUAUAGGGCUAACGCCCUGUAAUUACAGCGUCCGUAGGUGAACCUGCGGAAGGAUCAUUAAAAGGUUUAUCUGGGGGUGGGUAAAACCCUCCUGGAAAACUCCACCCUUGUAUAUUAUUACUUGUUGCUUUGGUGGGCCGCGAGAUUGCCUAGCGAUUGAGCACCGGCUUCGGCUGGAGAGCGCCUGCCAGAGGACCAAACUCUGUUAUUUAUGUCGUCUGAUUAUUAUUUAAUAGUUAAAACUUUCAACAACGGAUCUCUUGGUUCUGGCAUCGAUGAAGAACGCAGCGAAAUGCGAUAAGUAAUGUGAAUUGCAGAAUUCAGUGAAUCAUCGAAUCUUUGAACGCACAUUGCGCCCCUUGNAUUCCGAGGGGCAUGCCUGUUCGAGCGUCAUUAUGACCAAUCACGCCCUGUGCGUGGACUUGGGGUUCGCGAUUCCGCGUCCCUUAAAAUCAGUGGCGGUGCCGUUGGGCUCUAAGCGUAGUAAUUCUUCUCGCUACAGGGUCUUGCGGUUGCUUGCCAUAACCCCAACUUUCUUAGGUUGACCUCGGAUCAGGUAGGGAUACCCGCUGAACUUAAGCAUAUCAAUAAGCGGAGGAAAAGAAACCAACAGGGAUUACCUCAGUAACGGCGAGUGAAGCGGUAACAGCUCAAAUUUGAAAUCUGGCUCUUUCAGGGUCCGAGUUGUAAUUUGUAGAAGAUGCUUUGGGUGUGGCUCCGGUCUAAGUUCCUUGGAACAGGACGUCAUAGAGGGUGAGAAUCCCGUAUGUGACUGGUGGCCUUCGCCCGUGUAAAGCUCUUUCGACGAGUCGAGUUGUUUGGGAAUGCAGCUCAAAAUGGGUGGUAUAUUUCAUCUAAAGCUAAAUAUUGGCCAGAGACCGAUAGCGCACAAGUAGAGUGAUCGAAAGAUGAAAAGCACUUUGGAAAGAGAGUUAAACAGUACGUGAAAUUGUUGAAAGGGAAGCGCUUGCAACCAGACUUGCGGGUCGUUGAUCAUCCGGGGUUCUCCCCGGUGCACUCGGCGGCUCUCAGGCCAGCAUCGGUUUGGGUGGUGGGAUAAAGGCCUUGGGAAUGUGGCUCUCUUCGGGGAGUGUUAUAGCCCAAGGUGCAAUGCCGCCUACCCGGACCGAGGACCGCGCUUCGGCUAGGAUGCUGGCGUAAUGGUUGUAAGCGACC
rnacentral:rRNA from 1 species